GAGUGCUGCCCACUGAUCAGCUAGACACUUUAAUGUAUGUGUUAUUUUAUUCUCUCUUCUGUUUGGUUUGGCUUGAGUCAGUCCUACUAUAUAGUAACCCUGGCUGGUCUGGAACUCACUGUGUAGACCAGGAUGGCCUUGAAUUCACAAACAUCCCCUUGCUUCUACCUCCUGGGUGCUGGAAUUAAAGGUGUAUACCAUUAUAUCCCCCACCCUCACCCCGUUGUAGUUUUUUUGUUUUGUUUUGUUUGAGGAAGCGUCUUGUCUGGAGUCCAGGCUGGCCUUGAACUCCCUAUGAGGCCCAAAAUAGUCUUGAAUUCAAAAUCCUUAAUCCUUCUGCUAUAGCCUCUGAAGUGUUAUAAUUAUAAGCACCAUGACAUCGUGUUAGAUCUACCUUUUGCUACUAGUGAUUUUAGUAUUGUAAAAACAGAGUACUUCACUGGGUGUGGUGGCGCACGCCUUUAAUCCCAGCACUCGGGAGGCAGAGGCAGGCAGAUUUCUGAGUGCAAGGCCAGCCUGGUCUACAGAGUGAGUUCCAGGACAGCCAACGCUGCAGAAAAACCCAAAAAACCAAAAAAACCAAAAAACCUCCAAAAACCCAAAAAAACCAACAGAGUACUUCAUUGUGAAAAUUAUAGUGAAGUUAUUAAGAAAAUGACAACUAUAUUCUGUCCUUAAAAGGUCUCUUUUAAACAAUGGUGUAUAUGUAUAGAAAUGUAACAAUACCCAUUAUUUUGUAUGCUAGCUAAAAAGUUAAUUUUAAAAAAUCGUAUUUAGACAUUGUACAUUUAAAGUAAAAGAUUCAUGUGUGAUUAAUGUAUUAGAAUCUGUCAAUAAGUAAAAGAGCCAUUCUUGGCAAAUAGUUGCUGACAAAAUCACCAAUUUUUUUUUUCUUUAAAGAAAGAAAGCACUGACAAUAGAAAUUGUUAUUCAGGCUUACUAAGAUUUUUGUCUUGCAGGAACUUGUUUUGGGGGUUGUUUGUGUUGUUUUCUUUCUUGAGAAGGCGUCUCAAGAACCCUAGGCUAGCCUCAACCUAUAUUUAGCUGCUCCUCCUUUCUCUACCUUUGAAGUGCUAGGAUCAUAGAUGUAUACCACCAUAGCUCUGUCUUCUUUCUUCUAGACACACAGGUUGACCAGAUGUCUGGUCUGGACUCCCCCCCACCCCCCUCCCAUUGUGAGGUACUAUAUCCAGCAUAUUCUAACACUUCUAAAAGCAGACUCCAUACCAAACAGACCAUGGUACCUAAUGCCUGUGCUCUCAGUCGUAGGAGGCUGAAGCAGGAGGAUGGACAGUUCCAGAGACUUUGGUUGAAUGGAUGAAUGGGUAUCAUCCAAGCACAGAGUUGCAGUUACUGCAGAGGCUAGGCAGCAUACAUGCCAAGCCCCGUGCUGGCUGCUAUGGGGCACCGCACAGACCUGAAGUCCAUAUAAGUUCAGGCUCUAUGUGGUAAUCUCCCCACCACGACUGUAGGUAAGGGGCUGUGCCUGUAUCCACUGUACCCCACCCAGCCUAGACAGCUGACCUCAAAAGCCCAGAAGGUGGCAGGUAGGUGUGUGCCUAAAUUCUACAUUAACAUGACCAUAGACACUUUCAGUCUAAACCUUACUGUUUUAGAAAUGGCCAUUUAUAGUGUUUCAAAGAUUUGGGUUACUGGGUCUUGCAAGAAACUGUUCCUGAGGUAAGCACUGAAUGAAGCAGGCAUGUGAUUGCUUUAGAUUAUUUCAGUGUGAAAUUUCUGUAAAAAAAAAAAAAUACACAAGUUUAAGGUAGGCAUGGUGGCACACAUCUUUAAUCCCAACAACUGAGUAGGCAGAGGCAGACGGAUCUCUUCAAGUUCAAGGCUAGCCUGGUUUAUAUACAGGAGUGCUCACUCUAGAUAGGUAGGUAGGUAGGUGGGAGGUAGGGAGGUAGAUAGGUAGAUAUCUCUGAUUCGAAUGUAAUCAAACAUAGACAAUCUGAAUUCUAACACUUAUCCAGGACCACUCAGACCUGAGAACUGUUACCUGAUCUUAUGCUAAAUAAGAACGGAGUCUGUCUGAGAGUUGCUGUGAGGGCUGCUGGUUUGUCUGUCUUAGGUCUCCUCAAAGCCCAGCAGGUGCCCUUCCAGAACUAGGUGGUCAGUGGCUGUGCUGGAGGAGGCCCCUUUCAGGCUACAGGCAGAGAAUAACAGUGUCACAUUGGGGGACAUUAUUCCUCCUGAUGUUAAGAAAAUAACUCUUCAACAGAAGUCACAUCUUAAGUGAUAAUUGGUUGUUUUGUUUUGUUUAAUUAAAGCUUCAAAGCAAGAUUAAAGAUUGAAUUUAGGUAGAAUUAGCAUUAAUAGUCAAUCUUUUCUGUAAUUUAUAACAAGAAAAAAAAAGUGUCCCCAAAGUUAUGGUUAGGUUAGUUAAAUAUUGUAGUAAGGAGAGAAAUCCAUGGAGACCUCAGGAUAAUAAGCAGGGGUUAGCAGAAAGGUGACACUGUUCAUUUCUGUGACAUUUCUGGCUAAACAAGCUUUUGUAGACCCGCUGGGAAUGUAACCACUAUUUCCAUGGGAAAAUAAAUUCCAGGUUCCAGACAAGUAAUUUAGAGAUGCUGUGGAACACAGCCACUAAUAAGUUUAGACUUGUGUGCUCCAGAGGCCCCAUCACACCAUUGUGAUAGAUAGCCAGAGUUCAGCAGUAAGGGGAAAUGGGGUAAAUCGACUCUUACAGAUAAAAUGAAGAUUAACUAUGAUCAUAGCUCAGAAGAGAAGACUGUCAAAGACCGAAACCAUCAUAGCACAAAAGAAAGGGAAACCCCAGUGAUUCGGAUCAGACCGGUCCCCUUACUCUGUAUGCAGUGCUGCUCCUAGGUGUCACAUGAUAUUAUAGAUAUUUGUGGUUUGUUUUAUUCUGUUUGUUUUGUUCUAGUAAGAGAGACAAGGCCUCAGACUAGCCUGGAAUUAACGCUGUAAACCAGACUGGCCUGGAAACUGUGGCAGUCUUUCAGUCCCAGACUCCCAAGUGUUAGGAUUGCAGGCAUUCAUUAGCCAUCAUGUCUGGCUUUAUUUUAGACUUAGAACCAGAAGGAGGAACAGUGCAGUGGCUCACUUGCUGCACUACCCUGGCAACCUGGUUCAAUCCCUGGCCCCCAGAUAAAGGUGAUAGGAGAGGUCUGACUGCACCAAGCUGCCCUCUGACCCUCACAUGUGCACCGUGGAACUCAGGCCUCUACGCUGCCACACAAUAACGAAUAAUUCUCUAAUCAGAAUAGGAAAGAGAUGAGGCCAGAGCCUUCUGUUUGCCUGCUACUCUACUGCCUCUUGUGCCUUCAUCUCUGACUUAAGGUGACAGGGCAGAGCGUUGCCCAGCAUACCCAAGGCCUAGAGUUUGGUCCCCAGCCCUAGUUUAAAAAAGGCUUAAUAUAGUGUGUCUGCAUGUGCUUCUGGACUGGAUCAAAAACAGUGACAGGAAACACUGCUGCUAUGUUGAUAAGGGUAAAAUGUGUGGCAUCACCACACAUGAGAUAGACACACACACACACACAGAAAGAGAGUUGCUGGCAGCACUAAAUACAUCCAUGGGAACUUGUUGGCUAAUCAGGAUACGUCCCACCUAGAACAUCUCAUCAAAAUGUAGUAUGCCCAUGCUAUUAUAUUAAGAUCACCCUGUAAAAUAGACAUGAAGGAGCUGACAAGAUGCAUGGAAUCAUGGGGGCAGGGGGUGCAAUGCAAAAGUUUUUUUCUUGUGGAAAAUCAAAAUAAGUAGGUGUUGUGUGUUGUAGUUUAACUGUGAAAUGCCACAACCUAUCCUACACUGGCCUUUUUUGCCCACUGACAACCUUGUAGGAAGUGAUUAGUAAUUAAAUCUGGAUUUGUAGAUGGAUUGACCCACUGAUAGUUGAUAGUCUGAUGGCAUUGUUGAGUUCUGGUUGGAAGAAGUGGGCCACUGAUGGUGUGCCUUUGAGAAAUGAGUCUUGUUCCUAGCAGUGCUUCUAGGUUCCUGCUUCCUGGUUGCCUGGACGUGAGCAGCUUUACUCCUGUAUACUCAUCUACCAUGAUGCUCUGCCCCAUCAUGACCUAGAAACCUCUGAAACAGUGAGCCAAAAUAAAUCUGCCCACCCUUUCAGUUGUUUCUUUCUUUAUUUGGCACUUCAAAGGAAGUCUAAACACAACUGGGUUGAUACUAAAGUCCAUGAAAGAAGAUUCUUUUUUUUUUUUCAAGAUUUUUAUUUAAAUGAGUACACCAUUUCUGUCUUCAGACACACCAGAAGAGUGCAUCAGAUCCCAUUACAGAUGGUUGUGGGCCACCAUGUGAUUGCUGGGAUUUGAACUCAGGACCUCUGGAAGAGCAGUCAGUGCUCUUAACCACUGACCCAUCUCUCCAACCUAGAAAGAAGAUUCUAAACAUUGUUUACCCAUGAGUCAAAAAGAAUGUGUGGAUCUAAAGAGAGAUGUGUAAGAAAGAAGGAAGUGCUGGAGAGAGAAGGAGAAACGAAAGGUGUCAGGGGUGUUUUGUUUAUGUUGUUUUUGCUUUAUUUGGAGACAGGCUCAUAUAGCCCAUGAUGACCUAGAACUCUGUAGCCAAGGUUAGCCUUGAACUUUUGAUCCUUUUGCCUCCAUGUAUAGACUCCUGGCAUUGCAGGCAUGAACCAACAUAGCCAGUUCAUGCAGAACUGAUUGAUGAUAGGACCCUAUCUCCCCAGCAAGCCCCAGUCAUACAGAGCUUAUUUUAAAUAUUGGCGCAAGUGGAUUUAAAGGGUAACUUUUUUUUUCCCCAAGUUUUGCUGUCGCUAUAGAUGGCUCUGUACCAUAACAAAAAUUUUAUAAGACUGUCUUUCAUUAUACAAGUGUCCUUUAGAUCAUUGGGUGUUUGGGGGUGGCAGAUGACAACACAUGAUGGGGACCCAACCUUUCAACUGAGAAAAUAAAAGCCAACCUUCCCAUAGUCAUGAACCAUCUCUGUGUCCACAGGAGUUGUAGGCCUGUUCUAAGUGUAUGAGGAGCAGUUAUGUAAUUUACUACCAACAGAAUUUAUCCUUCAAAUGUUGCAACAAUGGGUCACCUCCGUUUGUGGUAGGACACACAGGUGCUUCCUGUUGCCCUGCCCAGGACGAUGUUAACAUCAACCUCAGAGAAGGCCGUUGGACCAGCCUGGAGCCAAAUAAUAGCCACUGUGUCUGUAUUGAGGAGGUAGGGAGAACUGUCUCUUAAAAUGUAUUUAUUUGUUUCUGGUUUUGAGAGAAGAUUAUCACAUUAUAUGGCUCUGGGUAGCCUAAUACUGUGUACCCCAUGCAGGCUGCAAAAUCACAGUAACCCUCCCAACUUAACUUGACUAACACUGAACUCAGAGGCAAGCACCGUUGUGCCCAAGAGCAGGACUGGAGAGGUAGCCCAGCAGUUAAGAGCACACCAAAGGACCUGGGCUCAAUUCCAAGCACUCACAGUGUCUAACAACUGUCUAUAACUCCAGUUCCAAAGGAUCCAACACCCUUUUCUGGCCACUGUGGGCACCAGGCAAGCAUGCAGUAUACAGACAUACAUGUAUAAAAAAACACCCAUACUCAUAAAAUAUAAACAAAAUUUAAGAGCAAUAAAUCUGAGUGUUUUAUACAACAAUAGUUACUAGUAGUCAGGUAAGUUAUCACAAGUAAGUGUGUCGACCCCUGAAAUAAACUAAGAAAACAAUUCAUGGCAGCCAUAACAGUGCACACUCAUAUCCCAGUAUGAAAGAGGUUGAGGCAGGCUAAUACUGUGAGUUCAGAAGUUCAAGACCAGCUUGACCAACAUAGUGUAACUCCAUGUCAAAGUAAGAAGGGCUGAGGGUGUAGUUCUCUUGGUAGUGUGUUUGCCUAGCAUGCAUAAAGCCCUGGGUUCAAUCCCCAGCACUGUAUAAACGGGGUGUAGCAGUCUGUACCUAUAAUCCCAGCCGCUAAAGGCAAGAAGAUCCAAAGUUCAAGGUCAUGGUCAGACACACACAUACACACACAGUUUCAAACCAUGUGGGGUUGGGCGUGGGAGAAGGAAAGUAGAAUGUAGAAUGUAGAAUGGCGGGAUACCAUUCUAAGAAACACCAUGUAACUGUUCUCACAGGCCAUUUGUCUUUUUGUUGCUACUGUUAGAAGGAAGUUUCCGUGUUCUUUGUGUGUAUACAUAAACAUAUAGAGUACAUACGUGUUCUAACAUGGAGUCUUCAUUUUCUGCUGGAGGAGUAUGCUACUAUUCUCUUUUGCUUCAAGAAUAUCUUAGCUGAGAUGAGAAAAAUUAAGAUUCUUUAAAGACAUAUCUAUUUUAUGUGUCCGAGUGUUUUAUCUACAUGUAUGUAAAUGCAAAUGCCCUCAGAAGCCAAAAGGUGCUGGUGCUGGCUCCUGAGGCUGCAGUUAGAGUAGUUGUAAGGCAACGUGUGGGUGCUGGAAACGAAACUGGGUCUUCAACCAGAGCAAUAAGGAAAAGUGAAUGAUUCUUUUAAGCAGGGAGGAACAAUUUGUGUAUUUAUUGUUCCAUUUGCUGAGCUCUUUGCCCAAACAAUAUUUCUAGUACUGUUGGUCACAGUGACACAUACUUGUCUGUCUGUAGUCCCAGAUUUUCUAGAGACAGAAGCAACAGAUCACUACAGCCCAAGAGUCUGAAGUCUGUCUGGGCAAUAGAACAAGACCCAGAGAGUAGAGAGAGGGAGAAGGAAGAAGAGGGAGGCGGAGGAAGAGAGAGAAAGAGCGAAAAAGCAAACAGCAUGUAAGCAUUCUGGACAUGUGUGGGGUUUCUCAUUUCAACCAAUUCUCCCAACUCUCUGGUUAUAACAGAGUAUCCUACAGCUCAAUCAAAAGUGACACUGUGACACCAGUUACCAGGAGUUAUCAUCAGACCCCACAGGUUUAGUCGCUCAGUCACACAAGACAACCCUCACUUCAGGUGCUAGUCCCUAGUAUCAGGUCCUCAGGCUACCCCCACUAACAUCCCACGUGGCCAAAGUGAGGUUGACCUACAACCUCUAGUUUGAAGAUUUGCUAGAACUCAUUAUACAAACAGCAACACUCCUGGUUUAUUAUAGAGUCUAACCCUGGAACAACCAAAUGGAAGAACAAGAUGGCCAGGACACUGUGGAGGUGCUGGAGAGGCACAGGGUUUCGGUGUCCUCUCUGGACACAUCAGCCUCUGAGCUCAGGUGUGUGGUCUCCAUCCUGGAAGCUUCCAUACCCCGGCAUCCGGGAUACUGAUGGCCAGACACGUAGACAUGCUUAAUUAUUAACUCCAUCUCCUGCCCCUCUUCCUUCCCCGAGGCCAUGGGGUAAGCAAAGCUUCCAGGCCUCUGAUCAAGGUUUGGUGUAUCUGGUCUCCAGUUAUUCCUAAGUUGUUUGGGGACAGGUCAAGAGUAACUCACUAGAAAGAUACUCUUUUGACCCGAGAAUUCCAAGAGCUUUCAGAAGUCUGUGGACCAGGAACAAUGGCCAAAUAUCAGCACAGGAGGCACACACAUCUGUCAUCUGGAAGUUAUGUGGGGCAGAGAGGCUUUGUGUCAGGAAACAAGGAUAAAGAGCAUGUAUAUGUUUCUUAUGCAAUAUAUUCAUACACACUAUUUUGAAAUAAAGCAAGAAACAGUCAUCUAGCGCUGGGCCUGGAGAGAUGGCUCAGUGGUUAAGGGUCUAGAUUCAGGACCACGCAGAGGCUCAGUCUGUAACCCUAGUUCCAGAGGCUCUGAGGAUAGAGGAGCCUGGGGGGGAAGCACAGUGAUGACACCCUUACAUCUCUUACCCAUAAUGGACUACUAAAGCUUUUUUAAAAAUUGCUUUGCUAAUGUAUUAAUUGCCCUAAUUUUCACUUUUGGAUUAUUCUCAUUAACAGGUACUUNUCUUCUUCUUUUUUUUGGUUUUUUGAGACAGGGUUUCUCUGUGUAGCCCUGGCUGUCCUGGAACUCACUCUGUAGAGCAGGCUGGCCUCGAACUCAGAAAUAUGCCUGCCUCUGCCUCCCAAGUGUUGGGAUUAAAGGCGUGCGCCACCACACCUGGCUCUCUAUUUUAUUUGUGUGUGUGUGUGUGUGUGUGUGUGUGUGUGUGUGUGUGUGUGUGUUUACAUGGGCCUUGGCAUGUGGAGAUCAAAGGGUAACUUUAAGGAGUUAUUUUUUUUCCGUCACAUGGGGAUCCCAUUCAGCUGGCGAGGUGUCUGUCUUUCCCCACUGAGCCAUCUCACCAGCUAUUGGCUAAGAGUGUGUCAGCACACUACAAACACUUUUGUUUUAAGAAGGAAAAUCUUUUACUGGGCCUCAUGGCAUAUUUUUUUUUUUUUUUUUUUGAGAUGCGUCUCAAGAUGUACUCUGGGUGGCCUCAUACUUGCUAUGUAGACCACACUGGCCUGAAACCCAGGCCUCUUGCCUCUGCUUCCCCAGUGUGGCAUGCACUUUUAAUCGCAGCUCAGAGGCAGAAGCAGAUGGAUCUCUAUGAGUUUGAGGCCAGCCUGGUCUACUUAGUGACUUCCAGGCUAGCCAGGGCUACAAAAAUACAACAAAGAAAUGCUUUCUUUUCAAUUACAGAUAAUGGGUAUGUGCAGGUGAAUGCUGGUGCCCUCAGGGAUCAGAAUCCCCAGGAGCUGGAGUUACAGGGGAUUGGGAGCUGCCCUGUGUAGGUCCGGGUACUGAAUGAGUCCUCUGCAAGUGCAGUCAGUACUCUUAACCACUGAGCCAUCUCUCCAGCCCCUGUAAAUACUUUCCAUCUUAACAUCUGGAAGGACCAGCAAGAAGGCUCAGCAGGUAAAGACACCUGCUACCAAGCCACAUGGCAGAAAGAAAACCAACUCCUCCUGAAAAUUGUCAUCUGACCUCCGCUUGUGUGCCACGAUGUGCACACACACACACACACACAAGCUAUAACUGGUGUGUUCCUGUAUUUUGUUAGCCGUCUAUCCUCAGAGCUCCUCAGUUUCACACUCUUUCCUUCCCAGCGACUCAGUCCUUCCUGUCUUUCCUGACCUCAUCACUCAGGAAGACUACUGAUCUUAAUUUGGUAGAAUUGGUACUUUGGUUUUUUUCCAGUGUUUUUUGUUUGUUUGUUUUCAUGAUUAGAUGAGGGUUGGUAUAUUUUUGCAAGAAUCUCAGAUGUAAUGACCUUUAGGUGAUGUCAAUGUAUUAUUAUUAAUAAUUAUAUCAUUUUCUAUCGCCUCCAUAACAAGUUACCACAGAUUUGCUGUCUGAAAGCAACACCCAUUUCUUAUCUCAGCUUCUGGUGGUCAGAACUAUGAGUAACUUGUGCAAUGCUAAAGUUCCUCUGUGGGUCGGACAGCCUUCUCCUCCAGCUUAGGUACUUGCCAGUUCCUUUCUCUAAGCUACUAGGAGAUGUUUCCAUAGGAUUGCCACAUGACCCCCCAUCUACAAAGGCAGCAGCUGUCCCUGCAAACAGACCUCACACUUUCCCUACUUCUAGACUCAAGUUUGAAGUGUUGCAUAAAGUUGGGCAUAUGACACAUCCCUGUAAUCCCACCGCCUGGAAGGCAGCCUGAAGCUAAGGACUGCUGCAAAUCUGAGUCCAGCCUAGAGUACAAACUGAGACCACAAUGUGAGACCCUAUUUCAAAGAAAGAAAGGAUGGGGACAGAGGAAGGGAGGGAGGGAAAAUGGUUGUCUCCCCUAGAGUUGUUUUUACUGGUGGUGAUAAGCCAUCCAGUGGUGGUGCUGGGAUUGAACUUGAGUCCCCGCAGAAGCAGUACAAGCUCUCAACCACUGAGCCGCAUCUGCCACAUGGUUUUAUUUUUUUAUUUAAAAAUAAAAAUAAAAAAAAAACCCUAAGAAAA
rnacentral:lncRNA from 1 species